AACGAACGCUGGCGGCAUGCCUAACACAUGCAAGUCGAACGAGACCUUCGGGUCUAGUGGCGCACGGGUGCGUAACGCGUGGGAACCUGCCCUUAGGUUCGGAAUAACUCCCCGAAAGGGGUGCUAAUACCGGAUAAUGUCUUCGGACCAAAGAUUUAUCGCCUUUGGAUGGGCCCGCGUUGGAUUAGCUAGUUGGUAGGGUAAAAGCCUACCAAGGCGACGAUCCAUAGCUGGUCCGAGAGGAUGAUUAGCCACACUGGGACUGAGACACGGCACAGACUCCUACGGGAGGCAGCAGUGGGGAAUAUUGCACCAUGGGCGAAAGCCUGAUCCAGCACUGCCGCGUGAGUGAUGAAGGCCUUAGGGUUGUAAAGCUCUUUUACCCGGGAUGAUAAUGACAGUACCGGGAGAAUAAGCUCCGGCUAACUCCGUG
rnacentral:rRNA from 1 species